CCUACGGGAGGCAGCAGUGGGGAAUUUUGGACAAUGGGCGAAAGCCUGAUCCAGCAAUGCCGCGUGCAGGAUGAAGGCCUUCGGGUUGUAAACUGCUUUUGUACGGAACGAAACGGUCUUUUCUAAUACAGAGGGCUAAUGACGGUACCGUAAGAAUAAGCACCGGCUAACUACGUGCCAGCAGCCGCGGUAAUACGUAGGGUGCAAGCGUUAAUCGGAAUUACUGGGCGUAAAGCGUGCGCAGGCGGUUAUGUAAGACAGUUGUGAAAUCCCCGGGCUCAACCUGGGAAUUGCAUCUGUGACUGCAUAGCUAGAGUACGGUAGAGGGGGAUGGAAUUCCGCGUGUAGCAGUGAAAUGCGUAGAUAUGCGGAGGAACACCGAUGGCGAAGGCAAUCCCCUGGACCUGUACUGACGCUCAUGCACGAAAGCGUGGGGAGCAAACAGGAUUAGAUACCCUGGUAGUCCACGCCCUAAACGAUGUCAACUGGUUGUUGGGUCUUCACUGACUCAGUAACGAAGCUAACGCGUGAAGUUGACCGCCUGGGGAGUACGGCCGCGAAGGUUGAAACGUCAAAGAGAGUAGUACGCGUGAGAGUAGACGACGACGACGACGAGGGAGGAGGAG
rnacentral:rRNA from 1 species